ensembl:lncRNA
GAGGAACGCGCUCCCAGCCCGACUUGCGCUAAGACCGCGUGGCGCUCGGCCGGCGCCCCGGGAGCGCGCGAGGCGCACGGGAGGGACGCACCCGCCGCGGCCCGCGGGCCUGCGGGCACCGUCGGCCGGGCGGUGUCAGGGGCGCCCGCCCUCGCGCCCACCCCGACCCCCACGGCCGGCGGAACCCGCCCGGCCCCCGCAGCCGAGCCGGUGCAGACCGCGCGGGGAGAUGGCGCAGACGCAGCCCGCGAAGGGAGGCUCGGGCCGCGAGGGUCGAAACACCCGAGGUUUAACUGCCUGCGACUCACGUGUCUGUGCGGCAGCUUCCCUGCGACUUCGGGGGCGGGAGGCCGAGCACCUGUGCGCCGCGCCUCUUGCGGGGACAGCUGCGCGCAUCCCUCAGGCCCGCCGACCGCACCAUCUGACCUGCCCGGAACGAAAUCCGAGCCUCGGAAUUCGAACGGCCCCGCGCACCUCCCUUCUCAGAUAAAUCUCCUAGGAGAGGAUCGUUCCUCUCUACUCAGAGAUUAUUUAGGGAGAUGUCCUGGGCGGGAUAGGUAGACAUACGAUAGCCCAAGGAAAACGUUAAAUUGUAGACACUUAAGCACCAACUGUCUGGAGCCCUGAAGGAAAGGGAGAAAGGAGAAAAAAAAAAAAAAAAGAUGAUCCAUCAUCAGAAACUUCCAGAGCCCCUGGGACUUUCUAAAUCAGUGGAUGUACUAACCAGGGAGUGUGGGAAGAUUUCUGAACACAAUUCAUAUUCCUUAACCUCGGGAAGUGGGAGUUCUACCUCUCUUCCAGCUGUCAAAUCUUAGGUUCCUAAUUCCUUGGUUUUGACCACCAGGAAGAGAUUCCUUAUCAUCAACUCAGCAAAAGCAUUUCCAUUAAAUAUUACUGGGUGGGAAAUAUUUCGUUCCCCCGGCUCACUGUAUCAUAACCACCAUAAACAUUUCUGUGAUCCACGGUGUUUGAUACUGGCCAGGCUUUCAGCGGAGCUGGGGCCAGGUGUUAAACGGCCCCUCGGCACCUUGCCCUUGUCCAGAGAAGGGAUUCCUACAGCUGCUGCUGACGGAGGAUGACUAGGAAGUUGGUUAGGAAAAGCAUCUUUUUCUUUUUUCUUCCUUUAAAGCUACCCUCUUGCCAAACAUUAUUUCUUUAGCCACCAAAGGAAGAUCAUUUAAUUG